GGGGCUGCGGGACGUUUACUUGAGGGAGAAAAGGAGGGAGAAAGAAGGCGGGAGAAGUGGGUCGGCGGCCUCCCAGCAGAGGAAGUGGCGUUUCACUGCGGUGAUGUCCUUCCUCGACCCCUUUAUUGCCCCGAGGGACACAUCAAGCAACAUGUCUCGGGAGGUCGAGGAAGACUUCACCGCAGAAAAUGCUGCUUCUUCUGCUGGGAUGCCUGAAGACCUGGAGGAAGCAGGCCCCUCAGGAGUGGAGUUUGACGGUUGGUUGAUGAGUGAAAAACAUAGCAAAUAAAUUUGAGUCCCCUCAUGGUUUAAACACACCAUUGUAGUCUAAUUUAAGAUGGACAGAUCAAGUCAUGCACAUGUAAUGUGUGAACAUUUUUUAUUUGAAUAACAAUGUUGCCUGAUUGCAGAGUUUUGAUUUCAGACAUUUUUGUCACAACUAAAGAUAAGCCUGCUCCCUCUCCUGCUUCAGCUCCCUCUCCUGCAGCAGCUCCCUCUCCUGCCCCAGCUCCAUCUCCUGCUUCAGCUCCCUCUCCUGCCCCGUCAGCUUCUCCUGCUCCCUCAACUGCAGCAGGUGAUGCCUCGGGCCCCACUGCAGCCAGGCCAAGAGG